CGCGCUGGGCUGUGCGGCCCCGCCUCUCCUCGUGUCGGGGGAGGAACGGAGGGGCUAGAAGGGAGAGAGAAAAAUCCCGACCCACCGACCGGCUGGCAAAGAGCUGCAUGCAACCGGUGGGAGGCCGGGCCGGCUGCGGCUGGGGCUCGGGCCGUUUCUCGGCGGGUCCCUGGCGGCGAGCGCGGACGGCCCGGAGGCGGCGGCUCUGAGCUGGCAGGCGGAGGGCUGUCUCCCGCGCCCGCCUGCCCGGCGCGGUCCGAGGAUGCGGGGGGGCGAUGCCCGGGGCCAGGGACGCGCUCUGUCACCAGGCGCUGCAGCUGCUGGCCGAGCUUUGUGCCCGUGGGGCCCUGGAGCACGAGAGCUGCCAGGAUUUCAUCUACCACCUGCGGGACCGCGCCAGACCCCGGCUCCGCGAUCCAGAUAUCUCCGUGAGCCUGCUGACCCUUGUGGUCACUGCCUGUGGCCUCGCUCUCUUUGGCGUGUCUCUCUUCGUGUCUUGGAAACUCUGCUGGGUUCCGUGGCGAGAAAGAGGCCUGUUCUCUGGAAGCAAAGACAACAACCAGGAGCCUCUGAACUACACGGACACAGAGACCAAUGAGCAAGAGAACAGUGAGGGCUUCCUAGACCCUCCCAGCCCCUGCCCGGACUCCUCCAUGAAGAUCAGCCAUACCUCCCCUGACAUUCCCCUCUCCAACCAGGCGGGGGGCCAAGAGAACUGUGCCCAUGGCGUCCGCAUGCAGCGCCAAGUCACAGAGCCAACCUCGUCGACUCGGCAUAAUUCAAUCAGAAGACAACUCAACCUGUCAAACCCGGACUUCAAUAUCCAACAGCUUCAAAAACAGGAACAGUUGACUGGAAUUGGUCGAAUCAAACCAGAGCUAUAUAAGCAGAGGUCACUGGAUAAUGAUGACGGGAGACGGAGUAACAGCAAGGCCUGUGGGAAACUGAACUUUAUUUUAAAAUAUGACUGUGACUUAGAGCAGCUCAUAGUGAAGAUUCACAAAGCUGUCAAUUUGCCUGCCAAGGACUUUUCUGGGACUUCAGAUCCUUACGUCAAGAUCUAUUUGCUUCCCGAUCGGAAAACAAAACACCAGACUAAAGUUCACAGAAAGACCUUGAACCCUGUGUUUAACGAAGUUUUUUUGUUUCCGGUUCCCUACAAUGACCUUGCAGCCCGGAAGCUCCACUUCUCUGUGUACGACUUUGACAGGUUCUCUCGCCAUGACUUAAUCGGCCAAGUGGUGGUGGAUCACUUCUUAGACUUGGCUGAUUUCCCCAGGGAAUGCAUCCUUUGGAAGGACAUCGAAUAUGUUACCAAUGACAAUAUAGAUCUUGGAGAGCUGAUGUUUUCCCUCUGCUAUCUUCCAACGGCUGGCAGGUUGACCAUUACCAUUAUAAAAGCGAGGAAUUUAAAAGCAAUGGACAUAACAGGAGCAUCAGAUCCCUACGUGAAAGUCUCACUGAUGUGUGAUGGCAGACGGCUGAAGAAGAGGAAAACGUCCACCAAGAGGAACACUCUGAAUCCUGUUUACAAUGAAGCCAUAGUCUUUGACGUCCCUCCCGAGAACAUUGACCAAAUCCACUUGUCCAUAGCGGUCAUGGAUUAUGACCGGUCACAAUGAGGUCAUCGGCGUAUGUCAAGUAGGCAACGAAGCCGAGAGGCUGGGCAGAGACCACUGGAGUGAGAUGCUGUCGUAUCCUCGGAAGCCCAUCGCACACUGGCAUUCCCUGGUGGAGAAACGAUGACUGUGGGUAAGAGGACGGCUUUGCCAAGGAUACAGUAGGACCACCGUCCUUCAAAGAUCUUAAGUAACCUUUCCUCUCCAACAACACUCAGACAACUCCAGUGACCAAAUGCACAGCUGUAACCACAGCAAUACUGGCCCUCUUUCCAGACUGGGUUUGGGGAACAUGAAACGUCCAGAUGUCUUCAGGUGGCCUAAGGUGGUGUGCUGUAGGGACGCAUGUCUCUCAGGGUGAAGAAGCAAGUUCGGACUCUGGAAGAAAGCAAGUGAUGCAGUGAGAAUACUGAGAGUACCUAGAGUACCAGGACUCUUGGUGAUGAACGUAAGGCCCUGGGUGAUGGGGGCACAGCACCUGCUCUGGCAACGUCAUGCUGACAUGAGGUUAUUUGCUUUGAAUGCCCUGGAAGGACAAAAUAUUUUAAAAUAUAUCCAGGUGCUAAAUAGGCAGCAGAUCUAAUUCAUACUCGACUACCUUUGAGCUAAUAACUCUCCAGAAAAUAAUUUCACCCAAGAAGUGCUGCAGCUUUGCAAGGAAUAGCCCCAGGAGAGUAAUAGGAUAAGCAAGCUGUUCCCCUGGUGAGAAAUCUAGUGCAAGGAGGGCUAGUUCACAGCAAAUUCACUGCCCCCUCCCAUGCACAUAGCUGCGAGUACCAGUUGAGCGCGGCUCUCUCUUCUGCUAAACGCAGAUUCUGAGGAGUCAGAAGCCCCUACACUGUUUUCUAGAUAGCCAGCAGCCACUUCCUUUCAACUGGUUUUGGCGUUAAAAUGAAAGUCAAAUGUCAUCCCUGUUAGAGAGGCAUACAUCUCAAUGGCGUAAGCAUUCUGGAAUACCCUUUCCCAGCCACAUUUGUCCAUUGAGGGAGCAGCCUCAGAAAUAGAUGUACCGUUGUGUGAGUUCGUGGGGAGAUGACACAGCUGUCCCCUGACUGAAAGAGCAACUUUUGGACCUUCUUGGCCUGAGUGCCUUCUGAGGUACUCAGCCCAGAGGCAACAGCCCAGAGGCAUAGCCUUGGGUAGCCAUAGACGGUUUCCUUUUUACUUCCAAACACAUAUAUCACUUUCAUAGCACUUGGGGAAUGGAAAUACCUACAAGAGUGAAGGUCAAGGGCUCUCCCCAGGUAUCUCAUUCAUUAUUCAUCUUCCUUUGUGACCAUAUCAGCCAACCUACUGCCAGCUGUGUUUCUCAUCCUCAUUGCUUCUGCCUCCACAUAAAUGAAACCAAAGUCCUCAGCGUACGCUGGGAGGGGGCUGUUACCUAGUGAUCCUCUCUGCCUCCUGUGAUGGAUGCAAGGUACCCCAUCCACACAUUUACACCCCUUCUCCAAGGUAGCAUUUCCCUUUUCAUACAAUCCUUUUGCAGCAAAAUCCAGAGUUGGACUGUCGUUUACCUUCCUGGGAAGCUCAUUAUCUUCAUUUCAAUUAACAUUUCAAUGUGGGAUUGACUGGGUGGAAGCCGGACCAUUGCAUGUCUUCAGAAAGUUCUUGUUGUGACAGCUGCUCGUAUAAGAAACUACCCUGUGUCAAAUCUAAAAAGGAUGGAGGCCACUGGUUGUGUGAGGCAGUGUCACUAUACUCCACCUUCACGUGUUCUCCAGCCUGCCUAAUCCAUUUCCAUCUCUGACUGGCUUUCAAUCUCCAGGAUCCAAAGGGGACCCAAUCUGCCUAGGUUUGAUGACAUGAGAAGUAUACAACUUUCUUUACCCAAGCUUCCUCGUUGCCUGUUCCUCCCAUUCAGACCUCCUCCACCAUACCAGUGUUUAGGACCAAAGCAUGAAAGACUACUGCCAGCAGGAUAGUCAGCAGAAAUAUUAUCUCAAGAGCCAGGCAGAUGAGCCCAGAAGAAUGGUUCCAGAGGAACCAGACUGGCCCCAAUAGAUACCAGGCCUACAUCCCAAUAAACUUUGAUAUGUCCUUGGCACUGGGAGCCUUGUUAGAUCCUGAAGAUCUUCCUGCCCAGAGAGCUAGCAGCCCUGGGGCACUAAUGAGUGUGCUACUGAUUUGUUGGUAUGACACAGAAGGUGGCUUUGUAGGGACCAGCAGACAGAGAGGCCUGCCCACAUGGCAGGCAGGUGGCUUUGUGUCUGGAAAGUUUUGCCCAGCCAGCCCAGCUGUGGCCAGAGGCCGGUUAUAAAUUUGAACUUCCUGAGCCCAUCUGCAACUCUGUACCUGUUCUCUUGCAUUCUGUUUGGUUUCCCUUUAGUUUCCUAGUAAAUGUUCCUUUUGAAAAAUUCCAACCUUGUCUCAUUGAACUUGGUGGGAAAGGUGUUCUCCAACGUCUUUUUCCAGAUAGACAAGGAAAUUAAAGUACCUUGGGAAAAACAAAAAUGGAAAUGGCAGUGGAACGGGAAACACCCUGGUUAGAUCUUAUGAAGAGGCCUCGGGGAAAGCUGACUCCCCCAAUCCAGUGUCCCCCACCUGACCCUGAUUCUCAGCCCCUUCCUCUUGCUGCAUUUGUCUUCAAGGAGAUCUGCCUUGGAUGUGUGUUGCUGCAAAAGCAUCUUCCCAGCCAGCAAACUGGGCAUCUUCAGCAGGCAAUGUGAUGUCCUGGAAAUACACUGGUGCGUGACACGAGGACGAAUGGGGGUGGGGAGGAAAGUAGUGGUUUCUACCAUGUGGAUGUUUUCAAAAUGCUCCAACAUCAUGACUCUAAAUGGGAUGAUUUAGUCCUCAUGGCCAUCAGUAAAACUGCAUUUCCUAUGAAGAAAGGAAAGUCAUACUUAAGCCAAGGAGAAUGACAAAAGAUAUGUAUGAAAAUGUCUCGCUAUCUUCAUGGCCAUCCUGUGCUAUGAUGGUGGGUGUUCCAGUUAUCUAUUGCUGCCUAACAAAGCACUACAAAGCCUAGUGGUUUAAAUAGAAAGUUAUUAUCUCUCAUGAUGAUGUGGGUUGGCUGGGCUUGGGUGAUUGCUGUCUCUUGGAGUCUCAUGGUUCCUGUCAGAUGGCAGCUGAGUCUGGUAUCCUCUGAAUGCCUGAUUGGACGGGAUAUCCAUGAAGGACUUUUUGCUCACUUCCUGCCUUCUCCACUGGCAUGACUAGAGCAGCUAGAGGCUGGUUGGGCAUCUUUCUCCACCUAGUCUCUCCACACGGUUAGCCAGCGCUUCUCCACAACAUGGAGGUCUCAGGGUAGUCAGACUUCUUACAUAGCGGCUGGCUUCCAGACCUAACAUUGCAAGAGGUCCCAGUAGAUUCUAAAUUACCUCUGAAAUAACACAGAGUCAUCCCAACCACACACUAUUGGUCAAGAGCAAAUCAUAGGGCCAAUCCUAGAUUUAAGGGGAAGGAGUUACACAAGAAUGGAAUACGAGAAGGUGUGGCUCAUCGGGGAUAGUGGCAUGGGAGUCGGAGGGGUGUCACUGAAUCAGAGAGCUUCCUGGAUAGCUGCCACUUUAAAAGCACAUGUAAUACUUAACACGCAUAAGGGUGGGGUGAGGGGGCGAGUACUAAGGGACAGAGGAGAGGAGAAGGGCUACUCACGGACACUUAAAUAGAGCAUAAGCUAAAGACAGGUAACUCGUUAUGAGUCAUACAGUUUACAAUGUCACAAGAAACCCUGGAGGGGUUGUCCCUUUUCUGAAGACUUCAAUUCAGAAAGAAUUAUUGCAGUUAAUUAAGAGAGAGGGAUUUUAUAAAAUCUAGUUUGAAUGAGCAGAACUCUGCCAGUAGUCCCCUUGCAUGAGGUCCCCCUAUCACUAGUGUUGCCAUGGUGCCUUCUCCAGUCUGCCCCUCCCUCUCUUGCGACAAUCCUGCUAUAUGAAAUCGUCAGGGGCCAACCCACAGAUCUUCGCUCUGCCCUGGCCUCCAUCUAACACAGUCACUUUCUAGAACUUUCAAACCAAAGUUCUAGAAAGUGAUUUAAUGAACUGAGAAAAGCACAUAAAACAUGGGCAUGCAUAUGGCCUAAAACAAUGUCUGCAACCUGUGUAUGGAUCCUGAGAAUUCUGCAGGCCAUUUAACUGCCAAUGGCAGCUGAGGGCUAUUGGGAGUGUCCAGGCUGGAAGUGCCUUGGAAGUGCCACCGACACUCAAGUCAGAGGAUGUCCUCACCUGUUGCUUUACUGUCCUGUUCUGGAUCCCUGCGAAGAGUAUCUCUCUCACACACAGGAUUGCCAAGCUGGUUGCUAACCCGCAGCACAGCCAGUGCGGCUAAGAGUGGCAGUGAGAGAGAGCUCUCUGAAACCCAGGUUUUCUCACUGAUGAGGCCUCUGACUCUUCCCCCUCCGAUCUUCUCUCCCAGCCAGAGAGAGGUGAUACCCCUCAAUAUCCCUUAACGGUCACCUUCGAUUGCUUCCCUAGCCCUUCCCACAGCCCCAGCGAUGCCUGCCACAGAAGUACUGCUUGGCGUCUUAUUUUCUCAGACCCAGAUAAGUCACAGGCAGUGUUCAGAGAAUUCUGAUGUGUCUCUGAGAUGCCCUUUCUGGAGAAGAGACUCAGAUGAAUGGGGACCUUUGUUAUAGCACAUGCUUUUCCACCUUUAUCCAGUUUUGUAUAAAAUAGGCUGACCUUCAUGAAGGAAGUAAAAUGGUAAAGCUAAGAAAAAGAAAAUGAUCUGAGAGGAAUAUUGCUCCAUCAAGUGAGGAAAUAUCCCAGGGAAGACCUAUAGGACAACUCCAAGGCAAACAGAAACAGAGAGGGUUGGCUGGUAUGCUGGGAGCUGCAGGAGGUAAGCCCUGCUCCUCAUCUCUAAGGCCAAGUAUGAGGCAAACAGAAGGUCUGAGCAGUUCCGUGGAUCAGUUGAUGAUGUCAGGUGUAAAGCUCGCUUUGCUCAUUCUCCUCGUAUAUUAGAUCCAGGCUCUCCAAGGACCACGGCAGAACCCACAUUUUGCUUCUUCCACUCAAAGGCUUACUUGUCACUUGCUACCUAGGAUCCUGGGGCGUGUAGGCUGAAAAAUUAAAGCAGCAGUACAAUCAUCUUUGUCCCCUCACUCCCUGGUGUCUUCCUACCGUGUCCAGGAGCUCUGGGCCUGGAGAGAACUAAGAACCAAGAUCGAAGAUGGCCCCGACGGCCUCAGAGGCUUGGCAGCCAGGCCUCAAGUUCCAAUCACCUUGGUUACGCCUCAGUAGCAUCAGGGUCCCCCCACUCAUGCACAGGCCAGCUGAUGUACCUCCUCCCGGGAGGGAAGAGAAGAAUAGGCCAAAGGGACCUGGGCCACUGAGGCUGUGCCCUUAAGUCAUUGCUCCUGCCUCCCAAAACUCCAUCAUAAGAUAGAUGUCUCCAUGAAGCCUGGAUGAGCAUUUCUGGACAGUUACAAAAAUAUAUUUAUCAAUAUGAAGUUAUUGAUGAUAAACAACACUGCAGCUUAUAGUUUACAAUGCACAGUAUCACUUUUAUCCACUUUAUUUUUUGAAAAUAUAAUUUGUGAUUCCAAACAGUAAAGUUAGAAAAAAAAAAGUUAAUGUCGUCUUGGCUCAAUACUAAAUUCAUUAUAGGUAUUGCAAUUAUUAUCCAAUAAUUAUCUUGUUCAUUAAAGUUAUUUCCAAACCAGCAUUUGACAUAGUAACAUUCAUGGUUUUUCCUAUCGAGUGAACAUCAUAUCCAAGACACUGACUUUUCCACAAUUUAGAUAAAAUUGUUUUUGCAUGGUGACAGUGUCCAGAUUUGAAUUCAUCAAAAAAAGGCAAUUUCUCUAAUUCACCAAACUCAAAGCUUCCAGAUAAUGAUAAAAUUAUUUCUUCAAACACCUAAAGAUACUUGUAUUCAGGCUUCAGAGAUGAGCUUAUGGACUAUAUAAACUGGUAAAUAACCUUCCAGAAAAAGUUUUACCUUCAUCUCAAAAAAGUAAUCAUUUUUUUAAAUAUAUAUUUUUCCUCAGGGAAUUUUGGAACUAAAUUAAAAUUUUAAGUAUAAAAUAAAAUUUUAACAUGAUCCUUACCUUAAAAGUGCGCUAGAAAGUGCAAGCAAGAUAAGAACACAAUAAAAAUUUAAAAAAAAAAAAGCAUUGCCAUAUACUAUGCAUUUCUUAAAGCAAAACAAAUUGCACUAUCCCUGCCUGCAUGUCUACAAACUCAGACUGGACCUUUGCUGAGUGCUCACUGGGCCUGCUGGAUCCACCAAGGCUCGCAAACUUUCUUAGACAAGCAGCAAAUCUGCAUUAUGGCCCAACAUUAUGGUCAGUAUUUUUAAAUUGCAUUUUCUGGCUGGAAAAAGUGAAUACAGAAAGGCUUUAUUGAGAAUAAGACCCAAGCAGCCCUGGCCCAAGCACCCUGAAGAGAAGGAGGUAUCUGAGCUACCAUAUAAAAUGGAAGAAGACCAGCUGUAUGCAUUUUCCAAAUGAGAAUUCCUGGGGUUGACGGUACUUCCACCAAAGUAAAUAUUUUUCUAAAAUAUGUAUUCGUUUUCUUUUGUCCUCUGCAAAGUCAAGAGCCAUACUAUCUUGAACAGCACUGAUAGAUUUUGAAACAAUUGCAUUUGAGUAAAAUUAACAAGAAGACACUUAAACUUCGCCUCCCAGUGUUUUCCACACUUGAAAGCACAGGAAGCUGCCUGCCUGACUUGCUCCGGUGAACCCUGGCCCUGCCCAGUGCUGUCAACACCCACUGGCCCUUUCACAGAGACCCUGGCCCGAUGAGACUCGGUGCUUGCUGCAGCAGUCUACUUAGCUGGGACAAAACUUCUGGGGCGUCUGGGUCAACAUAAUGCCAUUUUGGCAGCAACUGCCAUUUAUUUGGUUUGGGUUCUCCCCACUGAAAAGUGGUCCUUUUUUCCCCAAAAAUUUCAAAGCAAAGGAGAAUGAAUCUGUGUCACCAAACAGAAUAAGAACAGAACAACCACUGCACGUGCAUGCAGGGGAGGGGAAAAUGUCAUCUGGAGGCAACCCAAAUGCAGUAUUCUUCAUUUUUUUCUAUGUUUUAAAAUUUAUUGAUCUUGAAUUUUUAAGGGACAUAAAGAUGGGAUUUCAAAAGACAUAAACAGUGGACUCAAAGGAAAUCCAAGGGACUUUAAAGAAUUCCAUAAAACCAGAAAAGUUCAGUAUGAAAAUGGUUAUUUUAUCUGAUAGACCAAAUAUUGACAUUUGGCUGAAUGGCUCUGUUAUGUCAAUUUUCCCAGCCCGUGUAAAAAUAAAAAGUAGCUGUCGCAGAUGCCUCCUUAAAGGCCUGUUCCUGUGUGUGAAGCCUCAGUGGGACCCAUUACCCAUCACUGGGCACCUUCUGGCUUGGAAGAGGAAAGCAGACUCAGGAAACCCAGCAGGGUCCUCACAUCUUUUGAUGCCUCCUGGGGGUGGGGGGGAUAGGUCCUUGUAGAGGAAGGUGUUUAUAUAAAUGAGGGACAAAAUGAUGACCUGCUUUGACUCCAUGGGACAAGGUAAAAUCACUAGUUUGGGAAAGGCAGAUUUCAGGCUAGAAGGUGUAAUUAUCCAGGGGUUAAGGACAGGGAAGGAAAACUAAGUAAACUUUUACCCACCACUUGAAACUAUUCUAGUGCAUGAUCUCAUUGCUUUGGGAUCAAAUCAUCAAACAUUUGCCUUAUUCUGGUAGAUGGAAGCCAUGGUAGUGGCCAGCUGGCCCUAGAAGUUGCAGAAAGAACUCAAACCAGUUAUCUCCAAGCAGAGAGCCGGUUGGAAACAGCCCCACUUGUGCUGGGGCUGAGGGUUUGCUCUGCCACUGACCAACCCUGUGACGUCCAGGCCUCAUCUUCCUACUGUUUUCCCAGCCCUCGGAUGUCCCUUCCCAGACCCUUAUCAGUCCCUGGUGCAACCAGAUCACAAACAUACCUGAGGAGAACAGCAUUGCCCCUGUGGCUGUACUUGGCUCCCACUCUUCUGGGCUUAAGAGGACUUGAGCAAUCCCCAAAGGGCUCAAGCACAUAACAGAAGUAUGGCCACAGGGAGCCCCUGGCUGGAACUUCCUGUCUUGCCACAGCCUCUCAGUGAUCUUACUUUGUGGUGCUUUGUGUCCCUGGGCCGCUGAACACAUGCACACACACAAGCGCAAGUGUGAUUACUGUGUAGGAGCAGCUCAGAAGAGGCUGGUGCAGGGCUUCAUGUUCCUUCUAGGCAGAGGAAAACGAACGAGGAGAGCAUGGCCCCAUUCAGAGCCGGGAGACGUGAUCUUGUGUAUCUCUGCAGCAAGAGCUCUCUGAGUCUUACGGAAAUUGCUACACAGGAAUGUCAGACACAGGGCAAGGCUUCAUGAGUGCACCUGCCCACCUGGCACAAAUAACCUCUUUCUGUCAGAAGCUCCCAUUCCCUUAGACACCUAUGACCUUCAGUCAUG